UUUUUAUGUAUGUUACAUCAGAACUUUUGACCGUGUGGACCGAUUUCGACAAAUUUUGUUUUCAUCGAAAGGUGGUGUGUGCCAAUUGGUCCCAUUUAAAUUUAUUUGAGAUCUAACAACUACUUUUCGAGUUAUAUCUAAUAAUGCGUUUUUACUUGACGCUUUUUUCGUCGACCUACGUUGUAAUAUACCGCAUAACUUUCUACUGGAUGUACCGAUUUUGAUAAU
rnacentral:misc_RNA from 1 species